rnacentral:tRNA from 1 species
UGGGUUGUAGCUCUGUGGUAGAGCAUUUGACUGCAGAUCAAGAUGUCACUAGUUCAA